CUCGGCAAACACAAGCCUCGCCUGUUUACCAAAAACAUCGCCUCUUGUCUCCCCAAAAUAAGAGGUCCCGCCUGCCCUGUGACCACAUGUUCAACGGCCGCGGUAUCCUAACCGUGCGAAGGUAGCGCAAUCACUUGUCUUUUAAAUGAGGACCUGUAUGAAUGGCAUAACGAGGGCUUAACUGUCUCCCUUUUCCAGUCAAUGAAAUUGAUCUUCCCGUGCAGAAGCGGGAAUGACAGCAUAAGACGAAAAGACCCUGUGGAGCUUUAGAUAAUGAGUCGACUAGAACAAGUACACCCAAUACAGAGCUAAAUAAUUCUAGUACCGACUCUGCAUCUUCGGUUGGGGCGACCGUGGAGAAACAAAAACCCCCCAUGUGGAUCAGGUGUACACCAUUCCACACCCAAAACUAAGAGCCACAACUCAAAGCAACAGAACCUCUGACCUAAAUUGACCCAGCAAGACUGAUCAACGGACCAAGUUACCCCAGGGAUAACAGCGCAAUCCUCUUCUAGAGUCCAUAUCGACAAGAGGGUUUACGACCUCGAUGUUGGAUCAGGACAUCCUAAUGGUGCAGCCGCUAUUAAGGGUUCGUUUGUUCAACGAU
rnacentral:rRNA from 1 species